AUAGGUUUUGUACAUAGCCAACAUGGCUGCCGGCGGACAAUUUGAAGGAUGAUUUUGGAGGGUCAAUGUUUUAUUCAUGAGAAUGACGUCAAAAUACGCAUAAUGCACUUGUAUGAUUGGAUUAAACGCUAAUGUUUUAUUCAUGUACUCAUGCAUUAAACAUUUUUUUCCGUCCCACAAUUCCCUACGAUAUCUGUGCGAAGUGUCGUUCUUUUGGAAUCUGCGAAUUUCAAGUUUCUGAAACGAAAUAGCUAGACUAAUUAUCUGUUUAUAGAAUUGAUGUUCGAAAUCAUGGUUUCUGAGUGAACUUCAUUGGAGCGGAAAAUCUUGGAGGGAACAUCAAUACUAUUCUAAUGACAUUCCAUAGGAAUAAAAAUCCAAUGGGACCAAGUUCUCAGCAGUUCACACCUAGUCAGAAGUACAAAAUUGAGGACCAUGCCGAUCAGCAAGUGUUAGUUACAAUCUAAUGAGGAACAGGAUAUCUGAAUGGAAAAAUUGCAAGGUUUCCCACUUCCUAAGCUGUUUAAGUACUGGUAUCACAACAUAAGUGCCAAGAAGAGAUAUGAAACGGUCUCAAAAUUUUUGCUGGUGCCCCCCCGAUGCCGUGACCCACGGUACGCCACUGCAAGUCUUCAUAAAUUAUGUAGGGUUAUUAAGUUGCAUUUAUUGUUAUCUUCAUUUAAAACAAAUGUGAAAUGGGCUACCACUGCAAUAAUAUAUAAAUAGACUAUAUUUCAAAAAUAGAUUUAAUUCUAACCACAGUGACAGUAGACAAAUCAAAUUUUGUUAAUGAUUCGCUAAUGUAUUGAUUGGGGAAGGCACUCUUUAGGAUUCUGGCAUUGUGUCCCACCCCCCCCCCCCCCUAUGAGGAGUGCUCUCACAUCAGUAGACUAUUUCUUGUCAGCAAAUAAUAAAAUUUGAAAGGAAUUUACCAAUUUUUUUGAGUGACAAACUUUUGUGGAAGAAAAUAAACGAAUAUCAAAGGUUUUUAUGCUCUUUUAUGGAAUAUUAACUAAAGGCUCAUCGAGAUCCUUUGAAUGAAAUUUUAACAAACAUUGUACAAUGUAGAAAAAUGUACUUAAUCCUAUUUUUGUUUUAUAUACCCACCCCAUACUACCCCUACCCAGUAACAGCCCUCUUUAGCUAUGCAUAGCCUUCAUUUUUAAAAAUACAAUUUAAUGCUUGGUAGAUGCUAAUUAUUAUUUUUAUGUUAAUGUCAAUGUUUUAGAAAAUGGAUUCCUUAAUAAACAUGUUAAUUUUUAAUUGAA